rnacentral:rRNA from 1 species
UACGUAGGGGGCAAGCGUUAUCCGGAUUUACUGGGUGUAAAGGGAGCGUAGACGGCCAGACAAGUCUGAAGUGAAAAUCCAGCGCUUAACGUUGGAGGUGCUUUGGAAACUGCCGGGCUGGAGUGCAGGAGGGGCAGGCGGAAUUCCUAGUGUAGCGGUGAAAUGCGUAGAUAUUAGGAGGAACACCAGUGGCGAAGGCGGCCUGCUGGACUGCAACUGACGUUGAGGCUCGAAGGCGUGGGGAGCAAACAGG